CGGGUGAGUAAUGUCUGGGAAACUGCCUGAUGGAGGGGGGUAACUACUGGAAACGGUAGCUAAUACCGCAUAACGUCGCAAGACCAAAGUGGGGGACCUUCGGGCCUCAUGCCAUAAGAUGUGCCCAGAUGGGAUUAGCUAGUAGGUGGGGUAACGGCUCACCUAGGCGACGAUCCCUAGCUGGUCUGAGAGGAUGACCAGCCACACUGGAACUGAGACACGGUCCAG
rnacentral:rRNA from 1 species